ensembl:lncRNA
GGCUUUUUAUGGGACAUGCUGAUUUUUUCCUCCAAAAUAUCAUCUUUAAUGUAUACUUUUAAUGUUUGAAGAUGACUCCCUGGGAGUUAGUGAAGUGCUAGGAGCCUUCUCUCACUAAAAUAAAUGUGAUUCCCCUCCCAAAAGAAAAGUGACAAAUCCUGUGCAGUUCUUCAUAGAAACAAUGAGGUGAAAACAUUCGUGAUUUUAAUAAGAUUUGGUGCAGGCCCGUGUGCAGAGAAAGACAGAUACAUGCUCCACGUCACCUUCUGCUUCUUUCCUUGUCUUUGUCUUCUCCCUUCCGGCCCAGAGAGGAGAAGGUUGAUGGUUACACGGAACUGGUGGUCCCAAGGCUCUUCCAGGCAGUGCGGUGUUCUUCUGGUGCUGUGAUCCGGGUAGUGCAACCUGAACUCAUCCACCUCCCCCAGGCAGAAGGGGGUGGCUGCGUUUUUGCAGGCUCUACCUUCCAGCUUGAGCUCGAGAAUCUAUUGCUUCAGAACUCUCAGUACCAUGAAGUCAGUGGAAUGAUCACUGUCAAGAAUGAGUGCGCAACAGGGGAGCAAAUGACAUCAUUCAUCUCUGGCACAGUGGGAAUGAGUGGAGAUGGACGUGGUCAAGGAACAUUUCUUCACUCCAUGCUCUUAAUAAUUGAGAAACACAUGGGGAUACUGUUUCUAACCCUAACUACUGAAACAACAGGUGGACCUGGAAGUCAUUCAAGAACUGAGAUAAGCACAGCUUCUUUCAUAAAUGACCGGGGAGGUGAAAGUCUAGAAAAUAAACAGUGAACUUCUCACUUUGAAAUAGCAAUAAUUAUAGAGUAAUAAAUAUCAAAUACAUAAGAGAAAAAAGACAAAAUUAAAGACAUUUGUUGCAUUACAUGAAAAAAGCCAUGAGACAAAAAAAUGUAGAGAUUUUGACUUCUUCUAAAUAAAAUUGAUAAGCAAGCAUUAAUGCUUUCCCCUCUGUACCUUCUGUAGUCACACACAAAUGGACCCACCCCAAACACACACACACACUCAGAGUUUACUUUUAACAAGAGUUGAAGCCAUACACAUUCGUGUUUGCAUUUGGAAACACAGACUGGGGAGAGCAUAAGGGAGGAACAUCUCAGGGGUUUCCAGAAGCAAAGUGGAUCAUGGCUCAGCUGAGCAGCUCCUCAAAAGCCACUCCCAGCUGUGCUCCAGUCUGCCCCACUGUGAAGGCUAAACUGCUAAUUGCUUUCCUUCCCUUUCUUACAGUAAAGUGUAGGUAUAAGACCUAAUUCUGGGUCAUGCGGAGUACAUGGAAAUCUGCU